UGAACGCUGGCGGUAUGCUUUACACAUGCAAGUCGUACGAGAGUUUUUAACUCAAGUGGCGGACGGGUGAGUAACACGUAAGAAUUUGCCUUUAGGAGGGGGACAACAACUGGAAACGGUUGCUAAUACCCCAUAUGCUUUCGAGUGAAACGGUUUUUCCGCCUAAAGAGAAGCUUGCGGCUGAUUAGCUUGUUGGUAGGGUAAUGGCUUACCAAGGCGACGAUCAGUAUCUGGUUUGAGAGGACGAUCAGACACACUGGAACUGAGACACGGUCCAGACUCCUACGGGAGGCAGCAGUGGGGAAUUUUCCGCAAUGGGCGAAAGCCUGACGGAGCAAUACCGCGUGAGGGAUGACUGCCUAUGGGUUGUAAACCUCUUUUUUCAGGGAAGAAUAAAUGACGUGUACCUGAAGAAUAAGCAUCGGCUAACUCC
rnacentral:rRNA from 1 species